rnacentral:rRNA from 1 species
GACGAACGCUGGCGGCGUGCUUAACACAUGCAAGUCGAACGGAAAGGCCCUUCGGGGUACUCGAGUGGCGAACGGGUGAGUAACACGUGGGUGAUCUGCCCUGCACUUUGGGAUAAGCCUGGGAAACUGGGUCUAAUACCGAAUAGGACCACGCGCUUCAUGGUGUGUGGUGGAAAGCUUUUGCGGUGUGGGAUGGGCCCGCGGCCUAUCAGCUUGUUGGUGGGGUAAUGGCCUACCAAGGCAACGACGGGUAGCCGGCCUGAGAGGGUGACCGGCCACACUGGGACUGAGAUACGGCCCAGACUCCUACGGGAGGCAGCAGUGGGGAAUAUUGCACAAUGGGCGCAAGCCUGAUGCAGCGACGCCGCGUGAGGGAUGACGGCCUUCGGGUUGUAAACCUCUUUCAAUAGGGACGAAGCGCAAGUGACGGUACCUAUAGAAGAAGCACCGGCCAACUACGUG